GUUUUAAGCCAUCCAGUUUGUGGUGACUUGUUCCGGCAGCCCCAGGAAGCUAAUACCCUGGGGUGCGGGGUGGGAGGAGGGGUUGCCUGUCUGUGGGCUGCUGCACUCAGAGCCUCGUGUGAUCGGCUGCCUGGAGUCCUCCAUGCAGUGAAUGACCAUCAUGGCUGUGGGUUCAUCUUUAGGAGUGCCGCCAGCGUUUCUUGGCGAACAGCCAAUUCCAGGCACUCCACGUGGCCCUGGAGAAGCUACAGGAAUUUUGGAUGACAGGAUACCUGGGCUCUCCUGAUAGCAACAAGGGUGCAUGGGCGGGGCCAGAGGGAACAGGGCAGAGUUGCCCGAGCACCCCUGCGUUUAAGCCUGCAAGGAGCCGGGAUGAAGCUGUGGCUGUUCAUCUGCUUGGUGGCUGGGAUCACCUUGGUGACCUGCAGGCCUUCGGAGGAAGUGGCCCCUCACUUGCAGGGCACCUGGGCCUUCAACCCGCUGAGCCUGCAAAGACCCCCUGGAACCGCGGUGCGGGCUGCUGCGAGGGCAGAGGGACCUGGGAGCUGGACACCAGGGCCGCCCCCGGCGCGCAGAGCGGCGAGGACCCGGCAAGCACCGUCCUAAAAUCGCGUGGGUCGAGGCUGCCGUGAAGGCGUAGCCGAUGACAGCCAGGAGGUGGCAGCAGAGCCUUCUGCGGUGGCCGGGGCGCUAGCGCAGUAAACGGGGUGGAGACAGGCGAGAAGCCGCCAGGGGGCGACAGUCGCGAGCUGGGAGGAGGGAGGGGAGCACAGGACAGGCUGGUCACGGACACACCUGCGGCAGGUAGCCGGGGAGCCGGGAGGGCCCGGGCGGAGUCCACGAUGUUGCUCCCGGCUGCCACCUGGGACUGGAACCCAGCUUCAUCUGCCUCUUAGCGAGAGGGGCUUCCAGGACCCUGUCAUGAUUCACCAGGCUUCUGGAAUGCCGUGGGCAAAUACCCGGUGGUGUGGUAGAAAACGCCUGGGCCUGGAGUCCGGGGGCCUGGGUGUCACACCUUGCUGUUAACUUUACUGUCUGCUUCUCAGAAAGGCUCCAAGCAGGCUCAGCUCAGCCCUUGGCUCAGAAGGUUAAGUGCUGAGAGGCUGGUGUGGGAGCCGCCAGGCCGCCACCUGCGCGCCAGGCUCUCGGGAAGUUCUAGCUUUAGCUGAAGAGUUCUUAUGAGGGUUGAAUGUCCCCUCAUCACCUGUACAGAGGUAUGGAAAGUGCGGGAAGAUGUGCUGUGCUUUGGCUGUGGUUUGUUGGACCCUGGCUUUGGCUCUCAGCUCACGGGACAGGAGCCCUGGGGUCUGAGAUGCUAACGUAAGAGGGGUCCCUGCGGUCCUCCCGGCUCGUGGCCUGGGCCGGCCUCUCACCGUGUUUUCUUCUCACUGGGUUUCUUGGUCUGCUCUGUGUCGUCUUGUCUGGGUGGCUGUAUGGUGGCAGUCACAUUUACGCAGAUGCCCCCGUUGCCACAGUGGGUCUCUCCUCGCGUUCCCAGGAGGAUUCCUGUCUGCUGGAGUCCCCUCCACAGAGGCGUAAAACUUAGGGAUGCUUUGACACUUGGGAAGAAAGGAAGAAGGCAGCCUCCGGGCCCAGACCGCCCGGUGGGCACGCCCAAGGCUGGGGCUGGGGCUGGGGCAAGGGAAAUGGCGUUGCUCAGAGCAAGAGCCCCUUGCAGUGGGCACGCGGUUUAGGAGCAGAAUCAGGCAGGAUUUCAGGCUGCCCCUGCUCCCUAGGCCGACAGCCUCGGGGCAGCGCAUAACCUGCGUGUUAUUUGUGGAGCAUCCUGUGACUUAGAAACACUUCAGGUCACAAUUAGCACAACAGCCUGCUACUGCUGCGGAGCUGGAGUCUGAUGUCACUAACAGCAGUGCCGAAGCUCUUGGGCACUUUGCAACGUGUGUCUGUCUCCAGGGGAGCUCGUCUAGGGUAGAUCCCUCCUGGUUUGCCCAGAACUAGGUGUUCUCUGGAAAAGAGGAAGAUGUAGCUUCCCUCCACGUGGUGCUUAGCUGGGCAGGGGUGGGCUGAAGAAAAACUGCUCUAGCCCUGCGUGCUGCAGCAGGUUAGUUGCAGAGCUCUUUAAGUGUCACAUCCUUUGUCCCCCAAGUCCAGCGUAGUGCCCCAUGAUGGGCUGGGCUGGGUUCUGUCUUGGCCUUUGUGGUGUCUGGAAUGAAGCCUCAUUAUUGAGCUUUGGUAAAAAUACCCCACUGAGAGCUACCAAACCCCAAGUCCACAAAGACACGGUGGGGGGUGGGUGCCACCCAAAGGUUGCAUCUGAGGCCUCAAUCCUGUACCCCCAAAUGCCCCAUGACAAUCUGGGGAGGUGGUCAGAGGCUCGCUGUGGCUGCCGACACCCUGGCUCCCCUAUUUUCCCCAAAGGAAAUAAAGCAGUUGAAAUUAGUUGACAAGCAGUUCUUUAAAAAAGAAAACUGCACACAUUUGCUUUGGCCUGGGAUAAGGUAAGAAUCUAAUGUCAUGUGACAGCAGGUAAGCAUUUUAAUUUGCAUAUUUAGAUCUGUAGGACAUACACAUUUGUUUGCUACAGCUCAAUCUCGUUUCUGUCUGCAAGCCCUCCUGCUGCUUGGGUGGUAGGAAAUAAGACACCCCUUAACUGCUGCCCUUCCCGGUGCCGGGUCCUGGAGGGCUGCCUGCCUGGGCACCAUGAGUAGCCGUUUCUCUCGGGGUCUCCCCACCUCCUGGCUAUGCUGCUAGGAAGUGGGGUGCAGGCCCCUCCUCUGGGGGCUAACCGGCCUCCUCUCUGUCCCUUCUCCUUCUGCCAGUCAUGCAGGGUGGCGGGAAGGAGGCCUCCUUUGGGCUGAGGGAAAUCCUCCUCCCUUCUUUCUGGCCGUGGGCGUUCUCGAUGCCCUCCUCCACCGUCCGCCCGGGGUGUGUGCUGUUGGAAACGAGGUCAGGCUGUUUCUUCCUCCUGCUCCACCGCUGUCUCCAGGCAAAGGGCACGGAGCCACGAGGCCUGCCCCGCAGGGCGGCCCCAGGAGCACAGUGCCAUGUCUGCAGGUCGAAACCACAACGUAGCAUUCCGGCCACACAGAUGACUGUCACAUUAGGAUGAAUCCAAGCCAAGAAGAAGAAAAAACAGAAGCCGUUUUGGUUGACGGGCCCCAUCGUAGCAGUUGGCAGUAGUCGGAACUCCACCGACGACACCUACCACCGCUGUUUUGGCUGCUGUGACAGCUUCGCCCUCCUCGCCUCGGAUAUUCCCAGAGCGGAGCACGCAGGGGAAGCUGGGAGGAGGCCUCCUGGAUGGAUAAGAGAACUGCGAUGCCGAAUGCGUUAGGGGUUUGCUCAGGUUCACACAGGCAGUGAGUGACAGAGCUGGGAUUCAGAUUCAGGACCAGGGAACCAGGCCGACCAAAAGGCCUGUGAGGAGAGACCUUAAGCGCAGGAAGCCGACGUGGAGAGCCAGACGUCGCUUUCCCUGUGUGCAGAACAAGCGCUUGGGGAGCCCAGCUGCCACGAAACAAGGUGGGGAUGCUGCGGUCAAGGGUCAGGGUUGCCAUGCCAAUCGUGGUCAGCAGAGUCUGGGUGUCCAGAGACAGAAAGGAAGAGAGAAAGAACUGCGCUUUCUGGGAAGGCAGAGUCAUCAGGCAGAUGGAAUUUCUGGUGGUCCCUUGACUCCUCCCAGUGACACAAUCUGAGAAGGCUGCACAGGGAGCGCACGGUUCCUGGGAUAUGCCACAAAACCUGGAACAAAGGAGUGUGUACCUGCCUUUCCCCAGUCACCCACUUGCCCACUCGCUCAUCCACGCGUCCCUCACGUGCCAGGCCCUGUUUUGGGUGCUGGGGCGAAGUCACAGGCAGGACAGACGUAGUCCUUGCCUUCAGGAGGCUUUUGUGCAAUGGUGUUCUGAAGAUAUGGAAAUAAAUGAGUCUCAAAUA